rnacentral:tRNA from 1 species
GUUAAAGUGGCCGAGGCAAAGGCAUCGGUCUGUAAAACCGAUCACGGAAAUUCAUCCCUUUAAUA